UAAUGAAAAUAGAAAAAGGUAGUUGCUCGACACAACUACCCAUGCAGAACCGUUUAAGACGGUGGCAUGUUUUAUGUUAUUAAAAA
rnacentral:sRNA from 2 species